rnacentral:rRNA from 1 species
GCAGAACGCGAAGAACCUUACCUGGGCUUGACAUGCAUCUCUAAGUCGGUGAAAGCCGGCGAGUGCCGCAAGGUACAAUUUGCACAGGUGCUGCAUGGCUGUCGUCAGCCCGUGUCGUGAGAUGUUGGGUUAAGUCCCGCAACGAGCGCAACCCUGUGAUCUGUUGCUAACCGGCUUGUCCGGAGCACUCUGGUCAGACUGCCCUGUGAAACGGGGAGGAAGGUGGGGAUGACGUCAAGUCAGCAUGGCCCUUACGCCCAGAGCUGCACACGUACUACAAUGCUCAGUACAGAACGAACCGAAACCGCGAGGUGGAGGAAAUCCCUAAAACUGAGCCCAAUUCGGAUCGCAGGCUGCAACUCGCCUGCGUGAAGCCGGAAUCGCUAGUAAUGGCGCAUCAGCUACGGCGCCGUGAAUACGUUCCCGGGUC